ACAAGUCUAUAGAAACAAGAAAUUCUGCAGCUGCUAGAGGAAAGCGACAGAUUUGUCAGAGGGAGUGAAAAUAAUAAUGAAGUAGAAAUGCUCUAACUGGAAAGAUAGGAUUCCACCAAGUCCUAAAGGAGUUAAAAUAGAUAAACUAAGAACACCCUAGAGUGCAAAUCUCCAGGAGCAAAGAUUCGAUAUAUUCAAUAACAAUAUGGAA